UGUCAUCAGUCAAUUCAUCCAUUAUUAUAAAAAAGAUCAUCCUCAAAUUUUAAUUUAGACAGUAAUCCUAUUGCAAGUUAUUCUCUACACCAAAUACAAGGUCCACAUGGAAUAAAAAGGUUGAUUCACAAUGAGCUUGAAACACAGAAUAAACACCCACACAAAUGGCGUUUUUCCAGUCAAAAGUCAUCAAAAAACAAUACCAAAACAGAAAAGAAUAAAACCAAUUCAUUUUUUAAUAGAUUUUACAGUCAUACAAAGCCAGGAGGGGUACAAAAUAAAAAAUAUGAUUUGAACUGCAGUGAAUGUUACAAUUGCCAGCCGAGAAUCAAUGAAGGGAAACCAGCUUUGAAUAGCAUCUAUUCAAGCACGGAGAGAAGCAAUACUGAAACAAAACCGAUAUAUUUGCAAGUUAAUAUUUACAUGCGUAAUACAUCAACCGAUUCACAGAGAUUUAAAGAAGCAAAGCCUGUACAUUUUGAUAAUCUUGAAAAGUUCUUUUUAAUACCAGUACAGAUAUAUGAGAACAGAAAGCAAAAUGAUUAUUUGUCACAACCGCCAUUGAGUGAAUAUUAUGCUUUUGUAAGAAAUAACGAAGGAAAUUCACAAAAUGUUGGGCCAGAAUAUCAACGAUAUAGUCUAGAUACUUUCCAAGGAAAGCCAACAAAAAACUCGCAAAUUCCUGCUGAACCAAGAUACCCACCAAUUUCAACUUUCGGUAUGAAUGUUGAAAAAAAGAAUUUUGUAACAAAACAAAACCAAUUUAUACCACCAUAUUUUAGCAUAAAUUACUUCAAUGGCAAAAGGAAAAAUGAAGAUAUAUUCAAGGCUAAUGAAUGGCUAUCACAAUUGAACACAAACAGCAAAAAUAAUGUCCAAAGAAAACAAAUAUUUGCUUUUCAACCCAAUACUGAGAACGAAUUACAAAAACAUUUACUAUCCUCAUUGUAUUUUAGAAACAACCUUCCAAAAUACAACAAACAGUAUUAUACAACUGUGGAUAUUAAUAAAAACUAAUAAUUAAACCAGUGAAUAUAUUUUAGCUAUUUUACUUUACAGCCAGCACACAUUCAUAAAAUUGAAAAUUCCUAAGGAGUGCUCUUCAACAUUGUGCCUGAGGCUGACAAGCUAAAUCAAUAAAAUUGUACAUCUAAACUUCACAAUUGUGUAUAAUGUACAACAUCUUUGCUAGUACAACAUAGUUUCUACAUCUUUGCAAAUUGGAGGUUUAUCUUAAAAGGACAAUUGGCAAAAAUUAAACAUAAUCUAAUCUGUAAAAUUUCUCUGUAUAAAAUAAACUUGGAUUUUCAUUAUUACCAACCAUAUUCCAAAUCUAACAUUGCAGUGAGGAUAGGCAGACCAGAGUGAUCAGUAACAACCAAAUUUUCACGAUUAAAGUCGUUAAAUGAUUUUUAGGCAAAUACUUUUACUUCUGCACCUUAGGGCAAAAUUGGACAAGUCUAAUUUUGGCCAAAUAAGUUAAAUCCAUAUUCCAAUAGUCUUUAGACCUGACAGACUGUAUAAAUUAUUA
rnacentral:misc_RNA from 1 species